GGGAAGGUACCGCGGUCCAACACCAUGCAGUCGAACGGUAGCCAGAGGAGCUUGCUCCUCGGGUGACGAGUGGCAGACGGGUGAAUAAUGUCUGGGAAACUGCCCUAUGGAGGGGGAUAACUACUGGAAACGGUAGCUAAUACCGCAAAAUGUCUCAAGACCAAAGAGGGGGACCUUCGGGCCUCUUGCCCUCAGAUGUGCCCAUAUGGGAUUAUCUUGUUGGUGAGGUAAUGGCUCACCAGGGCCACUAUCCCUAGCUGGUCAGAGAAGAUGACCAGCCACACUGGAACUGAGACACUGUCCAGACUCCUACGGGAGGCAGCAGUGGGGAAUAUUGCACAAUGGGCGCAAGCCUGAUGCACCCAUGCCGCGUGUGUGAAAAAGGCCUUCGGGUUGUAAAGCACUUUCAGCGGGGAGGAAGGCAAUGCGGUUAAUAACCGUGUUGAUUGACGUUACCCGCAGAAAAAGCACCGGCUAACUCCGUGCCCUCAGCCGCGGUAAUACAGAGGGUGCAAGCGUUAAUCGGAUUUACUGGGCGUAAAGCGCACGCAGGCUGUCUGUCAAGUCAGAUGUGAAAUCCCCGGGCUCAACCUGGGAACUGCAUUCGAAACUGGCACGCUUGACUCUUGUAGAGGGGGGUAAAAUUCCGUGUGUAGCGGUGAAAUGCGUAGAUAUCUGGAAGAAUACCUGUGGCAAAAGCGGCCCCCUGGACAAACACUGACGCUCAUGUGCCAAAGCGUGGAGAGCACACGGGAUUAUAUACCCUGGUACUCCACGCCAUACACGAUGUCAACUUAGAGGUUGUGCCCUUGAAGCGUGUCUUCCAGAUCUAACGCGUUAACUCCACCCCCUGGAGAAUACCGCCGCAGUGUUAAAACUCAUAUGAAUUUGACGGGGGCCCACACAAGCGGUGGAACAUGGUGUUUUAAUUCGAUGCAACGCAAAAAACCUUACCUGCUCUUGACAUCCACGGAAUUUCGGCAAAAAAUCCCUUAUUGCCUUCGGGAACCCGUGAAAACAGGUGUUGCAUGGCUUUUCCUCCACCUCCUGUUUGAA
rnacentral:rRNA from 1 species